rnacentral:rRNA from 1 species
AAACUGAAGAGUUUGAUCAUGGCUCCAGAUUGAACGCUGGCGGCGGAAACGCUAGCACAUGCCGUGAGCAGCGGUAACAAGGGGUAGCUUGCUACCGCGCCUUGACGGGCGGCGGGUGAGUAAUGCAUAGGAAACUGCCCAGUAGUGGGGGAUAGCCCGGGGAAACCCGGAUUAAUACCGCGUACGCCCUUCGGGGGAAAGCAGGGGAUCUUCGGACCUUGCGCUAUUGGAUGUGCCUAUGUCGGAUUAGCUAGUUGGUGGGGUAAAGGCCUACCAAGGCGACGAUCCGUAGCUGGUCUGAGAGGAUGAUCAGCCACAUCGGGACUGAGACACGGCCCGAACUCCUACGGGAGGCAGCAGUGGGGAAUAUUGGACAAUGGGGGCAACCCUGAUCCAGCCAUGCCGCGUGUGUGAAGAAGGCUUUCGGGUUGUAAAGCACUUUCAGUGAGGAGGAAAAGUUGGUCGUUAAUACCGGCCAGCCUUGACGUUACUCACAGAAGAAGCACCGGCUAACUCCGUGCCAGCAGCCGCGGUAAUACGGAGGGUGCAAGCGUUAAUCGGAAUUACUGGGCGUAAAGCGCGCGUAGGUGGUUUGAUAAGCGAGAUGUGAAAGCCCCGGCUUCGAACCCGGGAAAACGGCAUUGAACCGCCGCCGGCCAGAGGCAUGGUAGAGGAGUGGAAUUUCGUAGCGGUGAAAUGCGUGCAGAUGGAGAAGGCAAGGAAACACUCAGUGGCGAAGGCGGCACUUCAACUGGGCACAUCGACACUGGAGGAAAGCGUGGGGGAGCAAAACAUGAUUAGAUACCUGGUAGCCCGCGUCCAAACAUACCUGUCUACUAGCCGUUGGGACUUUAAGCCCGAGAGGGUGCAAGCUAACGUACCCGCAGAUCCGCCUGGGGAGUAUUAACGGCAGUUAAAACUCAAAUGAGAUUGACGGGGCCCGUACAAAGCGGUGGAGUAUGUGUGUCGUUUACCUCAGACGCUAACCGCGCAGGUUGCUCACCCGGCCUUGAGAUGCAAGAGAACUUUCCAGAGAUGGAUUGGUGCCUUCGGGAACUCUGACGCGGGAUACGUAAGCGCGUAUGACCGUGGUAAGCUCUGUGUCGGUGAGAUGCUGGGUUAGAAGUCCCGUGGCUGAGCGCAACCCCUAUCCCUAGUUGCUAGCAGUUCGGCUGAGAACUCUAGGGAGACUGCCGGUGACAAACCGGGGAGAUGAGGGAUGACGUCAGGUCAUCAUGGCCCUUACGGCCGGGGCUACACGAUGCUACAAUGGCGCGCGCAGAGGCUGCAGACACCCACGAGGGGGCCAAUCUCUGCUAACGCGUCGUGGUCGGAUCCGCGAUGCAACUCGACUGCGUGAGAUCAGAAUCGCUGGUAAUCGUGAAUCAGAAUGUCACGGUGAAUACUGACAUGCACACACCGCCCGUCACACCAUGGGAGUGGAUUGCACCAGAAGUGGUUGAUCUAACAUGGAGGGUUUGAUCGCCACGGUGUGGUUCAUGACUGGGGUGAGAAUCCGUAACAAGGUAGCCGUAGGGAAAUCUGCGGCUGGAUCACCUCCUUAAA